UACGGAGGGUGCGAGCGUUGUCCGGAAUCACUGGGCGUAAAGGGCGCGUAGGCGGCGCGGAUAGUCGGCGGUGAAAGCCCGGAGCUCAACUCCGGGUCGGCCGUCGAUACUUCCGGGCUUGAGCACUGUAGAGGCAGAUGGAAUUCCGGGUGUAGCGGUGGAAUGCGUAGAGAUCCGGAAGAACACCGGUGGCGAAGGCGGUCUGCUGGGCGAGUUGCUGACGCUGAUG
rnacentral:rRNA from 1 species